GAGGAAAGUCCGGGCUUCAUAGGGCAGGAUGCCGGAUAACGUCCGGUGGAGGUGACUCCCAGGCCAGUGCAACAGAAAUAAACCGCCAUAAGGAUUUAUGGUAAGGGUGGAAAGGCAGUGUAAGAGACUACCGCGCAGCUGGUAACAGAUGUGGCACAUGUAAACCCCAUCCGAAGCAAGACCGAACAGAAAGAGGGCUGCCCGUCCGACUUUCGGGUAGGUCGCUUGAGUCCGGUGGUAACACCGGAUCUAGAUAGAUGAUCAUCGAAUACAUAACCCGGCUUAUAGUUCUGCUCA
rnacentral:RNase_P_RNA from 1 species